AGUAACGCGUGGGUAACCCACCUUCGAAUCUGGGAUAACUCCGCGAAAGCGGUAGCUAAUACCGGAUAAGACCACAGCCGUUUCGGCGGCAGAGGUAAAAGCUGACCUCUCCAUGGAAGUUAGCGUUCGAGGACGGGCCCGCGUCCUAUCAGCUUGUUGGUGGGGUAAAGGCCUACCAAGGCAGCGACGGGUAGCUGGUCUGAGAGGAUGAUCAGCCACACUGGAACUGGAACACGGUCCAG
rnacentral:rRNA from 1 species